UGGGGAAUAUUGCACAAUGGGGGAAACCCUGAUGCAGCAACGCCGCGUGAGUGAAGACGGCCUUCGGGUUGUAAAGCUCUGUCUUCAGGGACGAUAAUGACGGUACCUGAGGAGGAAGCCACGGCUAACUACGUGCCAGCAGCCGCGGUAAUACGUAGGUGGCGAGCGUUAUCCGGAUUUACUGGGCGUAAAGGAUGCGUAGGUGGAAUUUUAAGUGGGAUGUGAAAUACCCGGGCUCAACCUGGGAACUGCAUUCCAAACUGGGAUUCUAGAGUGCAGGAGAGGAAAGCGGAAUUCCUAGUGUAGCGGUGAAAUGCGUAGAGAUUAGGAAGAACACCAGUGGCGAAGGCGGCUUUCUGGACUGUAACUGACACUGAGGCAUGAAAGCGUGGGGAGCAAACA
rnacentral:rRNA from 1 species